rnacentral:rRNA from 1 species
GUUGAACGCUGGCGGCAUGCCUAACACAUGCAAGUCGAGCGGAUGAUUGUUGCUUGCAACUAUUUUUAGCGGCGGACGGGUGAGUAACGCCUAGGUAUCUUCCCGUUAGCAAGGGGUUACGACUGAGAAAGGAUGCUUAUUCCGCAAUCGUCCUGCACUAGCACGUGGUGGAGCUUGAGACGAUGUACCGGUUUAUGAGCGGAGCGCGUAUGAUCAGGUUGUUGGAGAGGUAACGGCGCACCAAGGCGACGAUCAGUAGCAGACCUGAGAGGGUGAUCGGCCACAUUGGGACUGAGACACGGCCCAAACGCCUACGGGAGGCAGCAGUGGGGAAUAUUGCACAAUGGAGGAAACUCUGAUGCAGCAACGCCGCGUGAAGGAAGAAGGUUGUCGGAUCGUAAACGUCUAUCUACAGGGAAGAAAAAAAUGACGGUACCUGAGUAAGAAGCCCCGGCUAACUACGUG